rnacentral:rRNA from 1 species
AGACGGAGGGGGCUAGCGUUGUUCGGAAUUACUGGGCGUAAAGCGCGCGUAGGCGGUGGUUCAAGUUGGGCGUGAAAGCCCGGGGCUCAACCCCGGAACUGCGCUCAAAACUAGGCCACUCGAGUCCGGGAGAGGGUAGUGGAAUUCCCAGUGUAGAGGUGAAAUUCGUAGAUAUUGGGAAGAACACCGGUGGCGAAGGCGGCUACCUGGACCGGACCUGACGCUGAGGUGCGAAAGCGUGGGGAGCAAACAGGAUUAGAUACCCCGGUAGUCC